rnacentral:rRNA from 1 species
UGGGGAAUAUUGGACAAUGGGGGCAACCCUGAUCCAGCCAUGCCGCGUGAGUGAAGAGGGCCUUAGGGUUGUAAAGCUCUUUCAACGGUGAAGAUGAUGACAGUAGCCGUAGAAGAAGCCCCGGCUAACUCCGUGCCAGCAGCCGCGGUAAUACGGAGGGGGCAAGCGUUGUUCGGAAUUACUGGGCGUAAAGGGCGCGUAGGCGGUCUGUUGCGUCAGGUGUGAAAGCCCUGAGCUCAACCUGGGAGGUGCACUUGAUACGGGCGGACUAGAAUCCGAGAGAGGGUGGUGGAAUUCCCAGUGUAGAGGUGAAAUUCGUAGAUAUUGGGAAGAACACCGAUGGCGAAGGCAGCCACCUGGCUCGGUAUUGACGCUGAGGCGCGAAAGCGUGGGGAGCAAACAGGAUUAGAUACCCUGGUAGUCCACGCCGUAAACGAUGUGUGCUAGCCGUCGAGCAGCUUGCUGUUCGGUGGCGCCGCUAACGCAUUAAGCACACCGCCUGGGGAGUACGACCGCAAGGUUA